CAGAAAGGACUUGGAGGCAGCAGAGGUGGUCUACUAUAGAACUGGGCAUGAGACUGAGGGAUUGGAUUUGGAGGAAAGGAAGAAUGUUACACAACUAUAGCCUUCAGAAGUUUUCCAGUAUUUUGUUUUCAGUUGAAAGAGACUCAAUCAAGCAACCAUGAUGAGUUCAGUAUCCUAGAAGCAGAGGUAACAUCCUCCACCCUCACUGCCAGGGCUGCUCUCCUUCUGUCCCUUAGAUGUGGAAGGAAGAAAUAGAAACAAGCAGAGAAUCUUGGUCAAGACUGAAUGAAAAGGAGGCUGCCUUCAAAUUUUUCACAGAAGUCACACCUAGAGAGACAAAAGUUUACAGAAUGUUAAUAAAAUUUAUGGAUUUUGCUGUUUGUGAUCACACAUGCUUAUAAUCCCAGAACUUGAAGUCAGGAAGAUCAGGAAUUCAAUGACAUGCUUGCAGAGUAUGUUCUUGUACAGAAGAUCCUGGAACAUAGGGAAGAAAGCUCUAAGUAGGCACCAACUCAACUUCUCCAUCUUUAAUGAGUUGUGUAGAUACUGCAAUUAUGUGGUAUCACCAAUUUUUAUAUAUGUGAUUUUGGACCAUCACUUUCUGAACCUUCAUCACUCACAUAGGAACAAAAUAAGAAGAUGCUUUUGUGGAGCCUUAAAUUGUAUAACUCACUCCAGCAUUUCAUGACUCAAUUCUAACUACAGUGGUAGUUAUGGCACCCCAUUGUGAUGGAUUAUAUUCCCAAAUUGUGGGCCACAAUAAAGUAUUUCCACUUUAAGGGUCUGUUAACAUGAAGUUGAUAUCAGGAAGAAGAAAAGCAAGUAAU